GGUAAUUCCAGCUCCAAUAGCGUAUAUUAAAGUUGUUGCGGUUAAAAAGCUCGUAGUUGGAUCUCGGCGGGCAGGGGGCGGUCCGUUAUUUGACGCGACUGCCCCAUUUGCCCGUGUUUCUUCGGCAGAACUCCCGGGGUGCUCUUCGCCGAGUGUCCCGUUGGGGGCCGCCAGGUUUACUUUGAAAAAAUUAGAGUGCUCCAAGCAGGCUCGACACGCCUGAAUAUUCGUGCAUGGAAUAAUGGAAUAGGACGUCGUUCCUAUUUUGUUGGUUUUCGGGAAUCGACGUAAUGAUUAAUAGGGACAGCCGGGGGCAUUAGUAUUCAGACGACAGAGGUGAAAUUCUUGGACCGUCUGGCGACUCACUGCUGCGAAAGCGUUUGCCAAGUAUGUUUUCAUUAAUCAAGAACGAAAGUUAGAGGUUCGAAGGCGAUCAGAUACCGCCCUAGUUCUAACCAUAAACGAUGCCAGCUAGCGAUCCGCAGACGUUUUUAUUGUAGGCUCUGCGGGAAGCUUCCGGGAAACCAAAGCGUUUGGGUUCCGGGGGAAGUAUGGUUGCAAAGCUGAAACUUAAAGAAAUUGACGGAAGGGCACCACCAGGCGUGGAACUUGCGGCUUAAUUUGACUCAACACUGGAAAUCUCACCAGGCCCGGACACCGGAAGGAUUGACUGAUUGAGAGCUCUUUCUCGAUUCGGUGGGUGGUGGUGCAUG
rnacentral:rRNA from 1 species